rnacentral:rRNA from 1 species
UACGUAGGGGGGCAAGCGUUUGUCCGGAUUUAUUGGGCGUAAAGAGCGUGUAGGCGGCCAUACAGGUCCGUUGUGAAAACUCGAGGCUUAACCUCGAGACGUCGAUGGAAACCGUAUGGCUAGAGUCCGGAAGAGGAGAGUGGAAUUCCUGGUGUAGCGGUGAAAUGCGCAGAUAUCAGGAAGAACACCCGUGGCGAAGGCGGCUCUCUGGGACGGUACUGACGCUGAGACGCGAAAGCGUGGGGAGGCGAACAGG